AGGCCUCUUCGGGGGUACACGAGCGGCGAACGGGUGAGUAACACGUGAGCAAUCUGCCCUUCACUCGCGGAUAACUACCGGAAACGGNGGCUAAUACGUGAUGCGACCGCUUCCUGCAUGGGAUGGUGGUGGAAAGUUUUGGCGGNGGGGGAUGAGCUCGCGGCCUAUCAGCUUGUUGGUGAGGUAAUGGCUUACCAAGGCUUCGACGGGUAGCCGGCCUGAGAGGGUGACCGGCCACACUGGGACUGAGACACGGCCCAGACUCCUACGGGAGGCAGCAGUGGGGAAUAUUGGACAAUGGGCGAAAGCCUGAUCCAGCAACGCCGCGUGAGGGAUGACGGCCUUCGGGUUGUAAACCUCUUUCAGUACCGACGAAGCGCAAGUGACGGUAGGUACAGAAGAAGCACCGGCCAACUACGUGCCAGCAGCCGCGGUAAUACGUAGGGUGCGAGCGUUGUCCGGAAUUAUUGGGCGUAAAGGGCUCGUAGGCGGUUUGUCACGUCGGGAGUGAAAACUCGGGGCUUAACUCCGAGCCUGCUUCCGAUACGGGCUGACUAGAGGUAUGCAGGGGAGAACGGAAUUCCUGGUGUAGCGGUGAAAUGCGCANAUAUCAGGAGGAACACCGGUGGCGAAGGCGGUUCUCUGGGCAUUACCUGACGCUGAGGAGCGAAAGUGUGGGGAGCGAACAGGAUUANAUACCCUGGUAGUCCACACCGUAAACGUUGGGCGCUAGGUGUGGGGCUCAUUCCACGAGUUCCGUGCCGCANCUAACGCAUUAAGCGCCCCGCCU
rnacentral:rRNA from 1 species